rnacentral:rRNA from 1 species
UACGAAGGGGGCUAGCGUUGCUCGGAAUCACUGGGCGUAAAGGGUGCGUAGGCGGGUUAUUAAGUCAGAGGUGAAAUCCUGGAGCUCAACUCCAGAACUGCCUUUGAUACUGAUAGUCUUGAGUAUGGGAGAGGUGAGUGGAACUGCGAGUGUAGAGGUGAAAUCCGUAGAUAUUCGCAAGAACACCAGUGGCGAAGGCGGCUCACUGGCCCAUUACUGACGCUGAGGCACGAAAGCGUGGGGAGCAAACAGG